UGGGGAAUUUUGGACAAUGGGCGAAAGCCUGAUCCAGCAAUGCCGCGUGUGUGAAGAAGGCCUUCGGGUUGUAAAGCACUUUUGUCCGGAAAGAAAUCCUUGGCUCUAAUACAGUCGGGGGAUGACGGUACCGGAAGAAUAAGCACCGGCUAACUACGUGCCAGCAGCCGCGGUAAUACGUAGGGUGCAAGCGUUAAUCGGAAUUACUGGGCGUAAAGCGUGCGCAGGCGGUUUGCUAAGACCGAUGUGAAAUCCCCGGGCUCAACCUGGGAACUGCAUUGGUGACUGGCAGGCUAGAGUAUGGCAGAGGGGGGUAGAAUUCCACGUGUAGCAGUGAAAUGCGUAGAGAUGUGGAGGAAUACCGAUGGCGAAGGCAGCCCCCUGGGCCAAUACUGACGCUCAUGCACGAAAGCGUGGGGAGCAAACAGGAUUAGAUACCCUGGUAGUCCACGCCCUAAACGAUGUCAACUAGUUGUUGGGGAUUCAUUUCCUUAGUAACGUAGCUAACCGUGAAGUUGACCGCCUGGGGAGUACGGUCGCAAGAUUCAAAACUCAAAUGGAAUUGACGGGGUCAUAGCUG
rnacentral:rRNA from 1 species